AUUGAACGCUGGCGGCAGGCCUAACACAUGCAAGUCGAACGAGUGGCGGACGGGUGAGUAAUGUCUGGGAAACUGCCUGAUGGAGGGGGAUCACUACUGGAAACGGUCGCUAAUACCGCAUACCAUCGGAUGUGCCAAGAUGGGAUUAGCUAGUAGGUGGGGUAACGGCUCACCUAGGCGACGAUCCCUAGCGGGUCUGAGAGGAUGACCAGCCACACUGGAACUGAGACACGGUCCAGACUCCUACGGGAGGCAGCAGUGGGGAAUAUUGGAAAAUGGGCGCAAGCCUGAUGCAGCCAUGCCGCGUGUAUGAAGAAGGCCUUGGGGUUGUAAAGUACUUUCAGCGGGGAGGCGUUACCCGCAGAAGAAGCACCGGCUAACUCCGUGCCAGCAGCCGCGGUAAUUC
rnacentral:rRNA from 1 species